rnacentral:miRNA from 1 species
UUCCAAAGCUGCAGAAAUGAGU